UACGGGGGGGGCAAGCGUUGUUCGGAAUUACUGGGCGUAAAGGCUCGUAGGCGGCCAACUAAGUCCGACGUGAAAUCCCCAGGCUUAACCUGGGAACUGCGUCGGAUACUGGAUGGCUUGAAUCCGGGAGAGGGAUGCGGAAUCCAGGUGUAGCGGUGAAAUGCGUAGAUAUCAGGAAGAACACCCGUGGCUAAGGCGGCUCUCUAGUACGGUACUGACGCUGAGACGCGAAAGCGUGGGGAGCGAACAGG
rnacentral:rRNA from 1 species